CCUGCUGGUCAGGAGUGGAUACUG
rnacentral:miRNA from 1 species